rnacentral:rRNA from 1 species
UACGAAGGGGGCUAGCGUUGCUCGGAAUCACUGGGCGUAAAGCGCACGUAGGCGGGUCGUUAAGUCGGGGGUGGAAUCCUGGAGCUCAACUCCAGAACUGCCUUCGAUACUGGCGAUCUUGAGUCUGGGAGAGGUGAGUGGAACUCCGAGUGUAGAGGUGAAAUUCGUAGAUAUUCGGAAGAACACCAGUGGCGAAGGCGGCUCACUGGCCCGGUACUGACGCUGAGGUGCGAAAGCGUGGGGAGCAAACAGG